rnacentral:rRNA from 1 species
GUAGGGAAUAUUGGACAAUGGGUGCGAGCCUGAUCCAGCCAUGCCGCGUGCAGGAAGACGGCCUUCUGGGUUGUAAACUGCUUUUGCCAGGGGAUAAAACGUCCAUGCGUGGAUAAUUGAAGGUACCUGGUGAAUAAGCCACGGCUAACUACGUGCCAGCAGCCGCGGUAAUACGUAGGUGGCAAGCGUUGUCCGGAUUUAUUGGGUUUAAAGGGUGCGUAGGCGGUUUUAUAAGUCAGUGGUGAAAUACAACAGCUUAACUGUUGAGGUGCCAUUGAUACUGUAAGACUUGAGUACAGACGAGGUAGGCGGAAUUGACGGUGUAGCGGUGAAAUGCUUAGAUAUCGUCAAGAACACCGAUAGCGAAGGCAGCUUACUAGACUGUAACUGACGCUGAGGCACGAAAGUGUGGGGAUCAAACAGGAUUAGAAACCCCAGUAGUCC